rnacentral:tRNA from 1 species
GAGGGUAUAGCUCAGUGGUAGAGUGCAUGUUUGGUGUGCAUAAGGUUCUGGGUUCAAUCCCCAGUACCUCUA